CCAGUACAGAAACAAGGCAAGACUAGAGAUAGGCACCAUGCACGAAAACAAGACAAAACUAGGAAAACAGGGCAAGACUAGAAAUAGGCACCAUACAUGAAAACAAGACAAAACUAGGAAAACCCAGAACCAGAGCAGGACAGAAAGCAUAACCUAGAACAUGUACACAAGACAUGAGGAAAACAAGAACAUAACAUGGGCAUGACUGGACAGGACUGUGCAUGGACUGGG